GACUCGGGAAUUGAUUUGUCUGGUACUCGAUAAACCAUUCCAGUGGCUCUUUUGUUCUAAAGCCUUCAAAUUGAAUCAGUGAAACAGGGACAGAAAUGCCCUCUGCGUGUGUGUGUGUGUGUGUGUGUGUGUGUGUGUGUCUGCUAUCUGUGGCUUACAGCUCUGAUUAGACUCCUAGUCUGGGACUCUCCAUGUGCCACAGGAGUGGCCCUAGAAAAGGCAAAAAGAUAAAAACAAACAAAUAAAUAAAUAAAUAAAUAAAUAAAAUUAACCAUGAUUUGUAUGUUGUAGUAACUACCCUGAAAUUCAUUCAUUAAAUCUUGAUAGAUUACCUACUAUGUGCUGGGAACUGUGCUACCCUCUGGGUAGACUAAGCCCCACAGUACCCCCUUCUCCUUAGUUGUUAAGUAUUUAAUAGCUGUAGGUGUGCAAGCAGAGGAUUAUUCUACCUAUUAAAGAAUAAAACCAACCAUCAUGCUAUUAGUUUGAACUUUUAAAAAGAGGCUUAGAAACGUCUCUCAUUAAGGCAUUCUAAGACAAGGUUAAGACCAUAUCUGGCUGAUCCCAUGUAAUGGAUGAGCAUAAGUGGAAUUUAAUAUCAAAGCCUAAAAUGUCUCUGACUUAAUUUUUAGUCCCUCCUUGAUCCUUUUUCCCCCCAUCUAGAAAAUAAGGGUAAUAAUAGAGCAAGCUCAUGUACAGUUAUGAUAAAGAAAUGAGAGCAUAUAUGUGAAAUUCAAACUAGUCCAGUCUUUGUUUUAAUGAGGAAACUGAAUUAGUGGAAAGAGAGAAUUCUAAGCAGGUGGGCAAGCAACAGCCAAUUAGCUGGCCAAACCAAUGACCCCUCUUUUCCUAAAGUACAAAUGGUCACUUAGGAUGGAAACUUCUUGGCUUCUAUCUUAAUGACCCAUUAUGACUGGGGGGCUGAGAUUGCAAAUACAAAUUCAAAACCCAUCUAUGCUUAGCUGCUUUAGGAAGGUCAAAUGAAUUAGUCUUGAAACCCUCUCUAUUCCUCACUCACUCCUCCUCCAGGAUAAAGUUUUAACUUGGUUGAGUAGCAAGUGAAUAUUUGUAAAUCUGCUUGACUCUUCUUGGGUUUUUGAAUUCACUAGGGGGUGAAGUAUGGCAUGUAACCCAGGAAAUAGUCAGGAUUACACUUUAUGUCUUUUCUUAAGGAAAUAGGGCUGGAGAGGAGAAAAGAUUGGCAGAGCAAGGUCUUCGGGGUUGUCCAGUGGGCCAGAUUCUGAUGACACUAGCACAAAUGAAUCAGACACAUUAUUGAAAUUGUCUACAAAUUGCACCAAGUUGAAAGCCAGUGAAUGCAAAAGCCCUUGGAUAAUGUCAGGUUUAAUAUAACUCAAAAGACAAGAUAGAGGCGGGGGUGUGGGGAACAAGCAUUGUUCAAGCUCAGAACAUCAACUCAUUGCAUUCUAUUGAAGGAGCCAGAUUUUUUUUUCUCUUCAAAAUUUUCUCUGGGAGAAAAACAGAGAGGAUGAAAAUCUGGAUUGUGUCCACAAAUGGAUUUGAAAAAGAAAAUGUUCCUUAAAUACAGAGCUUCAAGCGCUGCCCAAUUUGGUGUCUGCCAUCCCUUAGACUGGAACAUCCACUACACUCCCUGGGUAUAAAGUGUGUCUUAGUGUUCUUCGGGGCACCUGUAAGAUCAGGUGGACUUGCCUGCACCGUCUUGUGUCUGCCCUUCCUCUUUCUUCCUGGGCGUCAUCUUAGGCUCCCUCCCUGAGGACCUUGGCAGAGGCUCCCAGCUCUGACAUCCAUCUUUAUUUUGGUAAUAUUACUGCUUGGCUGCCCUCAGAAAUGGAAUCAUGGUUCAUUUUCUAUUCGAGUAAUGACGGGAUUUGCCAUUUUCCACCACACAAGUUUCCAGGAGCUUUUAAAGAGAUCGUUAAGGUUAAAUAACCAGAGGCAGGGGCCUUAAUGCACUUCCAUUGACAGCUGCCCUUUCUCCAGCCCAGACAUUGGACAGCUCUCUCUCCCCUUCAUGACAGGUGCAUCUAAGAAUAUUUUCUAUAUGGUCAAGUAAUGGCAAACUUUUAAAAAGCCCUGAGAGAGGUGAUGGGAAAGCAUCAAUCUUGGGACUAAAAUUGAGAACUUUUCAGAUUUAAUAAACUUAGACACAAGGUGAAAAUCUCAUUUGUUCAUGAAAAAUCUCUCCCCUGUCCCCUUAAGAAGGGAUUGAGGUUGCCCAGGGAAUGUGCCCUAAAGAAGCUUAGCAGCCUGGCCCAGGCCUAGGGAAGCCCCACUCCUACAAAGCAGGCCCUGCUUUUCUGGGUGGAUCGUACAGUAGUUUCAGAAAGCGUUUUGAAAGCUCUCUCCAGGGACUCUCGCUGGGUGGGCUCAGGGGAAGGAACACGGGCCUUGGGAUGCAAGCCCUCAAUUCAUGCCUUGGCGGCCAUGUUCCCUUGUGGAAUCUUGGGCAAGUUGCCUGGCCUUUGAGAAAGUUUCUUUUUCCUUAUCUGGAUUUCUGGGGUUAGUGGUAAUAGUAACAUCUAUUUCGUAAGACGGAGCGUGAAGUAUGGUGACAUUUAUGAGGACUCCGGUGGAUAGCAGGUGCUUAAUUAAUGACUUAAGUGUUACUAUGAUUGUUACUAUAUUGUUUAACUGCCCACUCAGCAGCUUCAUUUGUGUGCUUCAUAAGCAUCUCAAACCUAACACACGCAAAAUGGAACUCUUGGUUCUUACGUCUCGCCUCCUUCCACAGUGUCCUCACCCAAAUGCCGCAAGAGUCUUGCGGAUUAUCUUUGGCUCUUUUUCUCCUUUAACCCUCACAACAAAUCCAAAUCAAGCCUUGUUCUGCCUUUAAAUUGUACCGCAAGUCACACCACUUUUCCUACCUCCAUGGUGACCACCGAGUCUGAGCCACUGUCAUCUCUGUCACUGCAGCAGCCUUCCAACUGGUCUCCCUGCCUCCACUCUUGGCCUCCCUAUGGUCCAUCCUCCACAAAGCUGCAAAGUGGCCUUUUUAAAAGGUAAAUUGAUUUGUUCACUCACCUGUGCUUUCCAAACUUUUCCAUUGCCCACAAAACCCUCCACCAUCUGGCCUGUCUGCCUCUCCCACUUCAUCUUCUACAUCCUGGCUUAUUAUAUCCAGUCAUGGUUACACAUCAGGUUCACUCGACCACAGGGCCUUUGCACAUGCUGAUCCCACAUUACUGUCUGGAAUGCUGCUCCUUAUGCCCGAUUUUUGCAUGGUGGGUUCGUAUUAUUGAGGACUCUGCUCAGAUAUUACCUCUUCAAAGAAGCCUUUCUGACUCUUCAAUCUGAAAUCAUUAGGAUCAUUCUCUAGUCACUUUCUGUCUGUAACCCUUUAAAAUUUUUUUGGGUCCCGUCAUGGUGCAGUGGAAAGAAAUCCAACUAGGAACCAUGAGGUUGCGGGUUCGGUCCCUGGCCUUGCUCCGUGGGUUAAGUAUCCGGCGUUGCUGUGAGCUGUGGUGUAGGUUUCAGAUGUGGCUCAGAUCUGGCGUUGCUGCGGCUGUGGCAUAGGCCAGUGGCUACAGCUCUGAUUAGGCCCCUAGCCCGGGAACCUCUACAUGCCGCGGGUGCGACCCUAAAAAGGACAAAUGAAAAAAAAUUUUUUUUCAGUAUUUAUUACUCUCUGUGAUAAUAAAAAAAAAAUAAAAUAAACUUAUCUAUGUUUUCUUCAUGUAUCUCUUUGUUCUAGUAUGCAAGCUUUGAAAGGACAAAGAGAGACCUCCUCUAUCAUAUUCACAGCUCUAUUCUCUGUACCUGAACAGUGCUGCAUGAAUGGAUGAAAGCAUUAUUGAUAGUACUGUGUUUUGACCAUGGGUGAAAACAUUAUUAAUGGUUCUGUGUUUUGACUGUCUCAUCUCUUUCUUUCAUGGCUCUUGGCACACGUGCCCUGGUUCACUGUGACACAUUCUUAUUCUCUACCCACUCUCUUGUUCCUUUAGGACUCCUGAAUAUGAACUGAAGAAUCAUUGGCAAAGGGUUAAGGUAGAGGGGAAAUUUCUAUAAUAAUAUGUGGUUCUUCUAAGCUCUUUGUUGUCUCAUCGGUUUGUAGCUUUAAUGGUGAACAUUUGAGAUUGUGUCAAGCUUUGGGGAAGAUUUCUGGCCUUUGCCCUCCUAAAUCUCACCUUCUACUCACAUAGGAUGGAUAGGGAGGGAAGGUUUGUUCUUCUCCUGUUUAACAAACUGCAUGCCUUCUUUCUCCCACAGGGAUUCUUUGAGAUAAUUGAAUGUGACACACAAUUGCAUCUGACACUGUUUCUGUUGUCUUCAAGAUCCUAGGCAAUAUACAUAGAUACACAUUUCCUAAUUUAAUCAUUACAGUAACACAAUGAAGUCCACAAAGCCUAUGGCCUGUCCCAUUUUUAAUAGCACACAUUCCUCUACCUGAUUUUUGAACAUAAAACCAAGAGAGUAGUAGGAUAGCAAACCUCUCUUAAACCAGCACUUUGUAGAACACUGUUUUAAAAAUAUUAACAAAAAAGCUAAAAACAAACACAAACAAACAAACAGAUGCCACUUCAAACUACCCAAAGGCUUGUAUUUUAGCUAAAACAGGGCAGCCUUCCAUCUGCUCUACCCAACAGUUGGCAGCCAGUGUGAUGGAAUGACAAGUGCUUGGACACUGGAGUCAGACAGACCUGGGUUUCAUCUUGGAUCUGCCUUUUCCUCAAUCUCUUGGAAUGCAGUGUCCCCAUCAGUAGGCAAAGAUGCUAAGAGCUGCUUCAUGGGGUUAUAUGAGGGGCUAAUGAGCUAGCACAUUUAAAACAGCCCAACUCCUGUGGUGCAGAAACUGCUCAAAACGUAUUACUUCUGCUUGGUCUCACCGUGAU
rnacentral:lncRNA from 1 species